GACGAACGCUGGCGGCGUGCUUAACACAUGCAAGUCGAGCGGUAAGGCCCUUUCGGGGGUACACGAGCGGCGAACGGGUGAGUAACACGUGGGUGACCUGCCCUCAGCUCUGGGAUAAGCCUGGGAAACUGGGUCUAAUACCGGAUAUGACUCCAUGACGCAUGUUGUGGGGUGGAAAGCCUUGUGCGGCUGAGGAUGGGCCCGCGGCCUAUCAGCUUGUUGGUGGGGUGAUGGCCUACCAAGGCGACGACGGGUAGCCGGCCUGAGAGGGCGACCGGCCACACUGGGACUGAGACACGGCCCAGACUCCUACGGGAGGCAGCAGUGGGGAAUCUUGCGCAAUGGGCGAAAGCCUGACGCAGCCAUGCCGCGUGAGUGAUGAAGGUCUUAGGAUUGUAAAGCUCUUUCGCCCGUGACGAUGAUGACGGUAACGGGAGAAGAA
rnacentral:rRNA from 1 species